rnacentral:rRNA from 1 species
UGCAGUCGAGCGGUAGAGAGGUGCUUGCACCUCUUGAGAGCGGCGGACGGGUGAGUAAUGCCUAGGAAUCUGCCUGGUAGUGGGGGAUAACGCUCGGAAACGGACGCUAAUACCGCAUACGUCCUACGGGAGAAAGCAGGGGACCUUCGGGCCUUGCGCUAUCAGAUGAGCCUAGGUCGGAUUAGCUAGUUGGUGGGGUAAUGGCUCACCAAGGCGACGAUCCGUAACUGGUCUGAGAGGAUGAUCAGUCACACUGGAACUGAGACACGGUCCAGACUCCUACGGGAGGCAGCAGUGGGGAAUAUUGGACAAUGGGCGAAAGCCUGAUCCAGCCAUGCCGCGUGUGUGAAGAAGGUCUUCGGAUUGUAAAGCACUUUAAGUUGGGAGGAAGGGCAUUAACCUAAUACGUUAGUGUUUUGACGUUACCGACAGAAUAAGCACCGGCUAACUCUGUGCCAGCAGCCGCGGUAAUACAGAGGGUGCAAGCGUUAAUCGGAAUUACUGGGCGUAAAGCGCGCGUAGGUGGUUCGUUAAGUUGGAUGUGAAAUCCCCGGGCUCAACCUGGGAACUGCAUUCAAAACUGUCGAGCUAGAGUAUGGUAGAGGGUGGUGGAAUUUCCUGUGUAGCGGUGAAAUGCGUAGAUAUAG